ACGGCCCGGGACCUGCGAGGGAGGAAAGACGUUUCCCGCCGGCGGGAGCUGCAGUUGUAGUGGCCAGGGGAGCUCGGAGGCGGCGGGGCACGGCAUAGCGGCACCAUGGCGGACCAGUUUUAUCUGGAAAAUAUAGACGAGUUCGUCACGGACCAGAACAAGAUCGUGACAUACAAAUGGCUGAGCUAUACACUAGGAGUUCAUGUUAAUCAGGCCAAACAGAUGCUGUAUGAUUAUGUUGAAAGGAAGCGAAAGGAAAAUUCAGGAGCCCAACUGCAUGUCACUUAUUUAGUGUCUGGCAGUCUCAUUCAGAAUGGACAAUCCUGCCACAAGGUUGCAGUAGUGAGAGAAGAUAAAUUGGAAGCAGUGAAGUCCAAGCUAGCUGUGACUGCCAGUGUACAUGUGUACAGCAUCCAGAAAGCCAUGCUAAAGGACAGUGGGCCUCUGUUCAAUACCGACUAUGACAUCCUUAAAAGCAACUUGCAGAACUGCAGCAAGUUUAGUGCCAUCCAGUGUGCAGCUGCCGUCCCUAGAGCUCCUGCUGAAUCCUCAUCUUCUGAAAAGUUUGAGCAGUCAGAUCUUCCGGUAUCACCUGAGACACAAGCCAGUAAUGAGUUGACCACCAAUGGUCAUGGCCCACCUAUCCCCAAACAGAGUUCCCAGCAGCCCAAAGGAAUCAUGGGCAUGUUUGCUUCUAAAGCUGCUUCUAAAACCCAAGAUGCCAACAAGGAAACCAAAACAGAGGCUAAAGAAGUAACGAAUGCAUCUUCGGUAGGCAACAAGGCACCAGGGAAAGGGAAUGCGAUAAGCAAUUUUUUUGGAAAAGCUGCUAUGAAUAAAAUUAAAGUCAAUUUGGAUUCAGAACAAACAGUGAAAGAAGAAAAAAAAGUGGAGCAACCUCCACUGUCUGUCACUGAACCAAAGCUGGCAGCCCCUGUGGGCCUGAAGAAAUCUAGCAAAAAAGCAGAGCCUGUUAAGAUGCAGCAGAAAGAAAAAAAGAGGAGGAAGCAAGUGGAGUUAUCUGAUGAUGAGACAAAAGAAACUGAAAACAUGAAGAAAAAGAGGAGAAGAAUCAAACUUCCUGAGUCUGAUAGCAGUGAAGAUGAAGUUCUGAAGGCUAAGAAGUCCAAAAUCAAGGUGCCUACUGAUUCAGUUCCGGUCAUACCAGACUCUCCUGGGGCUUAUGAAGCUGAGUCACCAUCCCCACCUCCUCCUGCUUCUCCAUCUCCUGAACCAGUGCCUAAGACUGAGCCAGAGCCUCCUUCUGUCAAGGGCUCAAGUGGAGAAAACAAAAGAAAACGAAAACGUGUGCUAAAAUCUAAAGCCUUUGUGGACGAGGAGGGCUGCAUAGUAACUGAAAAGGUCUACGAGAGUGAAUCCUGCACAGAUAGUGAAGAAGAGCUUAAGAUGAAGACUUCUUCUGUGCAUAGGCCUCCCGCCAUGACUCUGAAAAAGGAACCCAAAGAGGAACGAAAGGGCCCAAAGAAAGGAACUGCUGCUCUGGGCAAAGCCAAUAGACAAGUGUCCAUUACUGGCUUCUUCCAGAGGAAGUGAACUGCCAUCUCUGUUAGGUCAGAGAUGUGGAGUGGUCAAGGGACAAGACCAAGACAUACAGACUCUCACUUACUGUUGAUAACUUGGAAGCACCUCCCUUUAUGGCUGGACAGUGAGCUCAGGGGAUGGAGGUGGUGUGGCGGUGACCUUGCACAGUGAGCUCUGGGGAAAGGAACACAGGCUCAGCUGCUGGAGUGACUCAUGACUUAACAGACGAGGGACGUCUGACUUGCUUCUUGCUCCUUCUGCCUUCGCCUGGUGUAUGUCGUAAGUGAUGCAGUCAGCCGUCUACUGUUUAAGGUUAGGAUUGUGACUGACCUUAGAUUAAUAAGAGCUUCUUUAGCAACUGUCACCCAGGGCCCUCCAGCCAGGCACCCCAUGGACUUGAUUAAAACCAGAGGUUUGGGAGAUUAGUCCCAGCACAGCAUUACGUCUACAACUUGAGAAGGCAGAGGCUUUGUGCAGCAAGCUGAGUAAAGGUUGACACAUUCCAAACUCCUUUCUUUUUAAAAUGUAAAAGGAUGGAGAGAAGGGUGGAAAGGCUGGAUUUAACUUUACAAAAAACUUCUGGAGAGGAAUCCCUUUUAAAUGGUUAUUUUCGCCAUUGCCUCUAGUCAUUUUUCUAAGUAGAAAUGGAAAAUUAAAGAAGAAAAAGCAACAAUUCAGCCUUUUAAAAAAAAUUAUCAUGCUGGGAUCUCUAAUUAAAUCACAUUUUGAAUUGGAAAACUCUGGUGCUGGUGGAGUUCUGUCUUUGCAAGCAUAAUGCAAAUCCUGUGGUCACUGUGCCCAGUAUGCUGCCUACACUCUGAGCUGUUUGCAAGGCUUAGUGAGUAGUAAGUGCUGGCUGUUUCCUUCUUUUUGUAA